UACACACCGGUUCGCUUGCUUAAUUUCUAGGAGAAAAGUUGGAGCAGAAUAUGUGCGAGUGCUUGGGUACGAUGUGCGAUCGUAUUUAUUAUUUAAGCAGAUAUUACGCGAUCGUAUCUCGCCUGGCGUCGCUCGCUUUUGUCGUCUCUCUUCGCUGUUGGUUGUCAUUCGCUCGCGCGUGACAUCAUGAAGUUUUAUGUGUCAUCACUGCAGAUACUGGCUUUUGGUGAAGCUGUUGGGUCGCCCAGUCACAAGCUUGAGCAGCUGAAGCUUGAUCCCCAAAGCUCUUUUGCCAUUUAGUCGGUCAUCGCGCGAAAUCAGUACGACGUACGCCGCCAACCCCCUUGCAUCUAGCUAUGUGCCGCACUGAUUCGAGACGUGCUAGUCGAUAUCUCACUCGAUCCCAAAUUCAGCACGGGAUUUCGAUCAAUUGCCUAAGCGAACGAGCGGCGACACCAGCUGAUCACGAAAGCUUGCUACAUUUUCCUUCGACGUAACAAAAUACCUGUCUUGUGUAAAAGCUUUACUACUUUAUAGUAGCCCUACGGUUCAUUGAGAAUGUAGAGCUUUGCUUCGGAGGAAAACAUCGCCGACAGAAACGUAAAGCCGCACAACUACGUGCGUGCUGGCAGAAGCCUGUCGUCUGCUAUAACAACAACAAAAAAUACAGAUCUGCUGAAAGAGUAUUUGACUUGCGCCGUAGCAAAAUGUUCUUUAAAAUAAGUUGGUAGUUUUAUUUUUAUACUAUUCUGCCUAAUAAUAUGCAUUCACUGUUUAAUUGAACUCUUCGAUGGUUUUGUUUUCUCUCUUUUUUAAAGAAAAGAAGAAUGUAAGUCAAAUCCAUCCACAGCCAAAGCCAAAUGCUAUCUUUCUUUGUGUUGUCACGCUCGGCGUCUCGUUACGUCCACUGGAACUUCAAGGCAAAAGCAUUAAUUUCGUGUGCGAAAGCGCCGUCCAUCGUUUGUGCAAUGUGUAAAGCUUGCGCGCAAUUCUCGUGGUUCUUGGAGCUUCGGUCAAGUACGAGCUGUUCAAGGAAUCGGCGGAAGACUCCGCAUGUGAUGGCCGACUCCCGUGGCUGCCUACUGCACCGCUGCAUGAAAGAAGCUAAAGAUUGACCUUGGCCGAGGAAUUUUAAUGGAAAACCAGAAGUGGCAGUGGCUUCCAGAAGAAACCGAGGGCUCCCUUGCUUUCUUAGAGAGAAAGAGCAAAGGCACUGUGGCGCAUCGAAAACCUGCACAACUAGAGCAUCCCUGGUUCACCAUGCUGCUCUUUCAUCAAAGAGGAAGGUCAUCAUCCUCAGAGAAGCUUCAUGCACUGAAGCAUGCUUUCCACCAGAGGAGCGGGUGGGAAACGAGUUCUUCCAAGGGAGCGUCUACCGAUACCUGGCGGGCAAGCUGAAAGUCAUCAGAAGGCCGAAUGAAUAAAUCGUUGGUGGUUCAUCUGUAUGUACAACCAUCAACUGUUGUGUGCACCUUUUUGCAGAUCCAUAUUACUUAGUCACAAUCUGUGCCAGUAACACAUAUCAGUAAC
rnacentral:lncRNA from 1 species